GGGGUUGUGGCUCAGUGGUAGUGCACUCGUCUGGCAGAUGUGAGGCACUGGGUUCAAUCCGCAGCACCACA
rnacentral:tRNA from 1 species